GAAGUUGAGUCCACAGUAACGCAAAGUCUACAUUGACCUAGACAGUUACACGUUCUUAUUGGUCUAGAGUCUGACUGUAGACUCCCAAUUGGAUCGUAGGAUUCGACUGAAGCCUACCAAUCAGACGUCGAUAUGCGUAGCAGCAACAGCAAGGACCUGCCGCUGCAGUAACAUACAGUGUUUUUGUAUCUACAACUGAAGAUGGCAACACCAGUAAUCCACGUCAUCAAGCCAGAUGCCCCUGCAAAUCAUCGACAGGCCGUACUGAUGGUGACCAAAGAGGCCCGUUACUAUCGGGAGAAAAGGAUGGUCUUCCCCAAACCCCCACAGGAGCUGCUCAAUACGACUACUGUCCUGGCCCACGCAGAGGAGCUCCUUCGAGCAGAGGGUAUCCCCUGCACCAUCACGUCAGUUGUGCCUGGGAAAGCUGGUGGUGCCAUUUGGCCAGUAUGAGAAUGCACCAUUCCACUGGCUUGUGGCAAACGAUGUGGGCUACAUGAAGUACAUACUUGACAAGCACAGAUCAGAGGUGACAAACCCACAUAGAAAGGGAGAGAUGGUGAACCAGUGGGUGAAAGACUACCUCACAGAAUAUGCAGAGAGCUUUCCACAAGUCUCCAGUCUCCUUGAGGCCAACAUCGACAGGUGUAUCUACGGUCAGACAAGGUUUGAGGUUUACACCUUUUAGGAGAUGUGGGAACUCUACAGCCAGUACCACACCCAAAAGGACAGGCCAGAGCAAUUCAGUGAUGAGCAGAGGGUGACAUACAGAAGGCAUACAGUUCUGUGAGAAGGUGGUUGCGCACACCAGUGACCCACAUCACAAGUGUGCAGAUGAAGAGGUUCAAGAAAUAUAUUAAUAACAAGGAGCAAGUAAGUGUUCAUUUGAUUAUGUAUUUGUUAUGGAAGAGGAAGAGCAGAAUAGCAUAGUAAAUGAAAAUUGUUCAAAUUACUGAUAUUUUGAGCACUUUGGUGAAAUGUGUUUGUUUGCUUUUGGUAAUUUAAAAUCCACAUAGUUACAUUACAUUUGUUGUCCACCAACCGCAGGCAAGCACCUCUAAGUGUGGUCCUUCAUCAUGGCCAGGCGAUGAUGCUGAACUGGUAGCUGCAAGCCAGGUUGUGGAAGACUUGCUCAAGUCCCAAGGGUCCAGCAGUCAGACUAGCAGUCAGUCUCUGGAUUCCCAGUGGCAGGGUUCCCGACCCAAAGGCCAAGCAGCCUGAGCCGCUGUCCGCCCUGAGCAGCCUGUGUCCACUAGCCAGCCCACCCCGUCCACAACCAAGGGUCAUGAUUAUCCCAGGGAAGCACCUCUGAGUGACUCCCCUGUGGAGCUAGAGGGUUGGGUGUGUCUGUGGGAAACCCCCAAUGGCAUCCCAUCUGCUGACAUUUCAUGGCUCAAAGAGGACAGAAAGAAGGCUGUUCACUUCCAUUCAAAUCUACUAGGACAACACUGGUCUGUUUAAGAGGCGACGGGUGAUAAAAGCAGACCACAUGUGGUUUUACCCACUAGAACCUCCCAGCUAUGUCAGCGGUGCUCUGCCAACUCCACAGCUCUUUUUUUGGAGCCGUGUCCGUGUGUGGCGCCCUGUUGGAGUGUGGAGCUACUCCCUGAAGUGUCUUCGAGGUGAUGAAUGUGUGGGUAGAGGACAGAAUGAGCACCUCUACAAGUCUGGCUACCAUCACCGGGUAUAACUCACUUCACCUGUGUUAGCGUCAUUACAUUACAGUUGGAAUCUGAUUACAAAAGUAAUCUGAUUACCAAAGUAAUCUGAUUAUCAAAGUAAUCUGAUUACAAAAGUAAUCUAAUUACUGAAGUAAUCGAUUACCAAAGUAAUCCGAUUACAAAAGUAAUCUAACUACUGAAGUAAUCGAUUACAAAAGUAAUCUGACUACAAAAGUAAAUUGAUUACAACAGUAAUCAGAUUACAAAAGUAAUCUAACUACAACAGUAAUCAUAUUACCAAAGUAGUUCAAAUACAGAUUCCUUUAGAAAAAAUUGGAUCAUAAAAGCAUUCAGAGUACAAAGAUUACAAUUUUAUUAUAAUUGUCAAGAAGUAUGGUUUUUCGCCACUUAGUCUCUACACGCAGAGACGGCGUGUCAUUUUACGUGCGAUUGUCAUGUUAAAAAAAAGGCCAUUUAUAAAGAGCAACAAAGUCCGUGUAGGGAUGAGGUCAGGGUGGAUGGAUGCGUCAAACAAACACAGGAUGUUCGCCCAGGAGAUCGCUAUUCGUGUCUCUUCCAGGGCUCUCUUGGUGCUUUGAGGCAGAUAUUUAGAAACUGUAAGUCCCAAUGCUUAAAAUCUGGCAUUGUGUACAAGAGGACACAUUUGUCUACAUUUUGAUGUAUAAUUUGAAAGGUGCGGAAGUUACAAGGGUUGACGUCAGACAUUUUGGAAAAGCAGAACAGCAGAAGAGGAUCAGUGGGUGACAUCACAGGUCAUGAGACACACUCUAAGCAGCGCAAUGCACACCCAUUAGAAACUCAGAAAAUGACUGAAAAAAGCAUAAAACUCAAACUGUGGUAAUUCAAAAAGUCUAAAAGAUGUAAACUGUAAAAAGCUGACUACAAGUUUAGUAGUUCAAAGUCUUGUGCUGUGUUUAAAGCUUGUAGCAGAAAGUAUGCAGUAGUAGAACUUAUUAGAAGUUAUUACAAAUGACAAAAGUUAUCUGGUUAUAAAGGUAAUAAGAUUACAUUACAGUAGUUAGACUAAGUAACAGUAAUUAGACUACAUUACAAAACAUUUGUUACAUUACAUUAAAGAAAUUAAAGCAAUAACUACUAAUGUGGAGUGUGUCAGUAACAUCAGUGAUGUAGAUGGGAAUGGGUGAGCAUGAUGGAGUGUAAGGUGCUGCUGCAAGCGGGCUCCUCUGGUACCUUCAAGUACACAUAGGACGACACAGUAAGUAGUACACUACACCCGCAUAUCAGCAGGUUAAUCAAGAGGCCAACUUUGUUGGUGCAGGAUGUUUAAUCUGUUUAUGUGGGGAGGAUCCCUGUUUCAUGUCAUCAGGAGACUGAAGAGCCAUUCAGAAAGCUGCUGAGAGCAACUUUUUCUAAGCUAAGAAAUGCUUUAUAUUAAUAUCAGACAGAUGAACUGCAUUGCUAAAUACUUUGGAACAAAAAAGCAUAGGCCUAAAGAGCUGAGCUCAAAAUGAAGGCCGAGUUCGAAGAUGGGUGUGGUCCGAGCAAGGGCGCCAGAAGUAGGGUGGUAGAGUAAAUAGGGAAGGGGCCAUUGCCCCACCCCCCACUUUAUGCUCCUGGCCCACAUUUGUUUUAAUCUAUACAUAAUAAUUAUUACCAGUAAGUGCCCCCCCAGAACGGUUAGGCAUAUUGAAUAAAUCUGGCACAGUUCACCUGUUUUGCCAAAAACACUUCUGUCAUGUCAUGUGUUCCAUUGCACCAUACACACCGAUUUGGUGUUGCGGCUGGUGUGGUCCCAUUGCAAGAUGGUCUGUAGUGUAAUAUUACAUUACA